rnacentral:rRNA from 1 species
CAGUAGCCGCGGUAAUACGAGGGGUGCAAGCGUUAUUCGGAUUGAUUGGGUGUAAAGGGUGUGCAGACGGCUUAUUAAGUCACUUGUUAAAUUCUUCGACCUAACUGAAGGUCUGCAAGUGAUACUGAUGAGCUAGAGGGUGGAAGAGAGAAGUGGAAUUCUCGGAGUAGCGGUAAAAUGCGUAGAUCUCGAGAGGAACACCAAUGGCGAAGGCAGCUUCUUGGUCCAUUCCUGACGUUCAUACACGAAAGCGUGGGGAGCAAACAGGAUUAGAUACCCCCGUAGUCCCUGUCUCUUAUAA